rnacentral:misc_RNA from 1 species
UAGGAUGGCCUUGCCAUUCACCUUCAA